CUAUCUACGUAACUUUACCGAAAAACCCAAAGAAUAUCUGCAUUUAUCUUUAAACAAAACAAAGUUGUAUUCUAAAAACUACCGUUAUUCGCAUUACAGCAUGGCCUAGACAUAUAUAUAUUUUUUUUUACUCUAUAUUUUAUUAUCGGGUUUUAUGAACAUGUGAUCCAACUGUUGUCAGCAAUCCAUUGGUCCGGCGUAUUAUUCCUCCCCUCCUUAAGAGUCUCGUGCAAGAUCUAUGCGCGCAAGCCUUGCAUGCAAUGGCAUCACAAACACAGGGAGCUUGCUUGAUCAAAUGGCUUGUGGGAACCAACUUUCCAAUAUGAUUAAUUAACCACUUUAGUAAUUAUGUGUUGCGAGCAAUUAAAAUACUAAUCAUUGUAAAAUGUCUUCCUAACCAGGAUUUACAUGUAUCAGCUGCAGAUAGAGUUUCAAAAUAAAGUUUUUUUUCCAACUUCCACAAAUCGUCAUCAUCAAUCACCCACGCUACUCUUUUAGAGGUUGGUUGUUUCCUUACACAGUCACUGCGACUGAUUGAAUAAAAUCUAAAUAUGAGUAAAUUGUUACCAUUUACGCGAUUAAUCAUGGUUUUCCUCCACCAAAGCUGAAGUGAGGUGAGUAAUUAGUCAUUAUGUUGUAUAUUUUUCCACUCAAGUUAUCAUUGGCAUCAUUUCAUAAGUUACAACUGUCUUGUCAAGGAUGUUCAAUGAUAUCAAUAACUCACCUGAAAAAAAAAAACAUGUUGGUCAUUAGAUCAAGGUGUCACUUUGCCCGAUGUACGCCACUCAGAUUGAAAAAAAAAACCUCCCAGAAGAAUGUUACAGGUAAAGGAAAUGAAAUGCAGCCCUCCUAUUUCAUGCUCACAUCACAGCUGGCGGGAGGAGCCAACUCUCCCUGCAUGUCACGAAAGCUUUAAAUAAAAAUUUCUCCCGCCACUUGUCACACGUCUUCUUGGAUAGAGUUGGACAUAUCCCAAACUUGACCCGCCCCUCCAAACGCAACCUGCCGAUGUAACGCAACCUGUGGCGAACUCAUUUUGAGCUGCCGGGGUGCACAGAGACGGGUGAGCGAGGGAGGCAGGGAGGGGGCAGAUUUUAGAAACUUGGACCGCUGUUUCAACCUGCGGCCAAGGGAGAAUAAACCAAACCGACAAACUCUGGAUUCAAAGUCCGGUGCGCUGACCAUCCCACACCCCGGCAGCAGCAUCCCUCUGAAGCAUUUACUGUAUAUCCACUGCAAAAUAAUUGAUGACAAUCAAAGUAGUAACGCAUAUAACAUUGCGAUUGUUUUGUAGUAGUGCAUAUCGCUGUGAACUCUUCAGUGGUUGCAUUGUGUUAGCUUGUAUAGUUUCAAAUACCGCAAUAUAUCACCUCUGAUGAGCACUGGUGGCUAAGUGCGAAGGCUCAAGACCAAUGACUAUCUUGAUUGGAAGCUUUCGUGACUGCAGGAAUCCAUAGUUUAACUCAUAAAAUGUAUCUUACUAAAUGUAUAGCCUAGGAGUAGAUUGCAUCGAACCGGGGACCUCCGGAUUGCAAGUCCAAUGUGUUAUCCAUAUGUAGAUUUCAAACAGCCCAGAGGACAUACGAUUAUAAAAUACAAAAGUAAUAAUUUUCGUUGAUGCACAUUAGUAGCUACAUCACAACGAAUGCCCUUCCGUUGCGUUGUGUUUUCCCAUCACAAGAUGGUUGGCGUAACUGUAACUAAUGAUCAUCGUUAAGUUUUAAUCUCACAAUCUGUAAAUAAAUGUAACGCAUUUUUCACAUUCAGUGUAUACCACGUAUUAAUCAAUUACGCAACUAAUUCACAAGCGCAUUGUUGACAAGUUGUUGCGCUGGAUUAGUGUUGGUUAGCUGUUUUGCAAGCGUGCCCUUAACGUUACGCAUUACCAACAGCGAUGGCCAUGACGCACGAGUGUGGUGGCCGCGAGAUAGGGAAAACGCCUGACUCAACAAAAAAAUAAAUGGAUGCUCUACACGAGCCCUUUUAUUUAAACAAGUGAGACGUUUUCACAAAAAGCGCAUGCAAUGAGUCGCAAGGAGAACCCUUUGUGUGAAUGGUAUUCUUGGCAACAAGACAGCGUGUGACUGCCAGUGGCCGUCCUUGGCUUAUGCAACAGAUGACUCAAAUGCUCGUGAAUCCAGCUGUGCGACUCGUGUGUUCGGCGGCAAUGAGCUCAUGCCAGCCAGAUUUUAGCGGAAAGUUGUCGUGGACAAAAUAAGUUUACAGGAAAGAGAAUUUUUUUUUUAAAUCAAAGACAUGCCACCCAUGUUAAUAAGAGUAGUUGUUAUUGGAUACAAGCAGGGACUGUUGAGGGUCUCAUAGCUUGCUUAUGCGUUCAGAUGCUAACUCGACCACAGGCCUCCUGGCUCAUAAGCAGAGAGAAGUUGGCUUAUGGAAGUGUGGUUUUAAUGAAUAAUUGUAUAUCCUCCGGUCUGUUCAAAAGUUACAAAAUGACUCAAAAUGUACGCUUCACAGCUGCAUAAUAUACACAAUAAUUCACGUGGCAUCGUUAAAUACAAAGCAAUACGACUUGCAUUUAUAAAGUGCCCAAAUGAAGCAGCAUCUCAAGAUGCUGUUUGAAAGGAGAUACAUUUAUUGAAUGUAAUCGAUGGGAAGAGAAAGUUUAUCCUUUUUACAGGUGAAGGGGGAACGUUAAUCUGAGAAUAGUACCAGGGACGAGGACUUGACAAAUGAAUACUACAUGUACAUAUCCAGAAAUGUAGGUGCAGGAGAAGCCAAUCGUAAUAAUCGAAGGUUUGGGGGAAGGAAAACCAUCUAAACAUGGAAAGCCGUUCUGAAGAAUUUUCAAUCUAAAUUUAAAGUUCAAAGCUCCAUGUGGCUUCUUAUUGUCGGAAGGAAGAGCAUUCCAGACGACCGCCGAAGUGCAUCGGAUUGCGUUACGAUGCGGUGACCACCGUCUUUGUUCAAUGGCCAGACAAAAGCCGCUGCAAGGUUGACUGUACUGUAGUUCACGUGAUGGUUUAUGCUCCUGCUAUGACGAAAUCAGCCUAAUUGACCAAAACGCCACUUAGUUCAUACUCCGGUAAUAAUGAUCUAUUCAUCCAUGAGAGUUUUACGAAGAGACCUUCUUGAGAUGUUUCACCUAUUGCUAAGUUAUAUUCGCAGAUUGGAUGAAAUCGGAGUGUCCCAUAGAAAACCCCACAAACAUGACGCUGCACAGACAGUCAGGUGGUGCAACACCGUUGAGUGUGCGCAACGCAGAUGUGUUCAAUGGGAGCGUCGUCCAGCGUUCUUUCCCGUUGUAAAGUCUUCGUUCGAUGGUUAGCCAAAAGCCGCUGCUGCGAGGAUGACCGGAGUUUGGGUGAUGGGUUUCAUGCUUCUGGACGAGAUCAACGAGGUAUUGCGGUUCAUUUGUGGCAAGCACUUUUGCGUGUAAUAAGCGUGAACAAAUGUGGAUAGCCAGACGGAGGGAGUUCCACGUUCCAACACGAUUUUCCAUGCUUUGUUGCCUUCUAGAAUGAUCUUCCGAUAUUCUGCAAGGUACCCCCCCACCCACUACUACCCUCUCCACCCCGCAGCGUGCGAGCUGUUCUCACAGUUGGCCUCCCCUUUAUCUACUGACGCUGGGUGCACAUUUUCUGCCACUUUCGGCACUUUCCUGGCUGUUUAUGUUGGCGCGGCCCGGACCCCAGAUGAUUCCUGCAGGAGACAACGGGGCCAGGGCCAAACCCUUCGGCCCGAGUCGUGGGAACAAAGGCGGCCGUUCUCCAUUCACAAACAGAGCUCCUCGUGUGCAAACAGAGCAUGCUGUGACCCUUUCAAGCCCAUCCAAUACCAAGAAAGGGGACUUGUUAGGGUUUCCUAAAUAUUUAUAAUCUGAGCAAAAUGACGGAGGUUUAUGUUACUUUUAUGUUAAGGCUGAUAUUUAAGCGCGGGUGAAUUGUGUUUAUAACCAUCAUGAUUAAAAAAAAACGAAAUGUGAAGACGAAUAAAUAUUUCUGCAUUUGUUUUAUUUGACGUAAAUUUACAGUGAACAUCUGUAUCUGGUUAUAUUUUUUGCAUGACUUCCAAGUUUAACUUAUAAAAAAAUAAGUUACACUGCAUCUUUUACAAUUUUUUUACAAAUUAUUUUGAGUCACGUGGAAUUGUUGAAAAUGAAGAAAUCACAGGGAUGACUCCGAUGUUCAACAUGAAGUUGUCUCUUGACAGAAUGUGCAUAGGCAAGAAACACAUGCAGUGUAUUUGCUUGUGCAUAACUAAUAGCUAUAUUAAAUGUAUCUACACCGACACCUUAAAAUUAAAUAUAGCCACCGAUACAGAUGUAUUCUACGCAAUUAGUCCACAAAAGUGAUAGAUUUACAAAGAGAAAAUCUCAAAAUAAUGAUAGCAGUCAGUCCGUUUAUUUUUGGAUAAGGCCGACUGAGCUUAGAAGCAAUUUUUGAAUCGAAACGUGUCUAUAGAUAUUCAAUACAUUUCUUGUUUUUGACGUUUGCUAAAAAUAAAUAAAUGAUAGCCUUUGCCAAUCUACAGCUGUCAAAUCGUGGAGGUUGUUUAACUAUACUUCACCACGCCGAUCAGUGCAGCUCAGUAAGAGUGGGCAGCCGGGGGAAGAGAAAUGGCUCAGAUAUGACUCACCACUGAUGUUAGCCGUGGCCAUAAUCGAACCAAAGUAGCCAGGUUUAUAGUGCAGUGCUUAAAAUAUUGUAGCACCGAUCAUUGAUAUUUGCUUUUACAUAUUAUGUCUAAAAAAAGAUUAGCAUUCAAUUAUAUUAUUUUCUUGAAACUUUUUUUGUACAAGGUCUCUUACAUUUACAAAUGCAUGGUUACGCAAGCGAAGAGGUUAUCAGGCCCCAUACACCCGGCCCUCUGAUUCAAUUGGGCUGAUUACGAGGACCUUUUUCGGGCAGGCUCGCCAUCAGCAGUAUUCAAUACCCUACGCCCGUGUACACUUUAUCUUCAUAAAAAGCAAUUACACAAAACGUCUGGUUGCUCUCCUCGUUUAGCAUUGACACAUCUUUAAAUACAGUAAUUGAGAUUCAGUGCAACAUUCGUAUAUUGCAUUAUGCCUUCAAUUGUCUUUGUACACAAACCACCAGACAAAGAUCCCCAGUAAAGGCUGUUUCAAAGAUGCUGGGCCACGUGCUGUUAGCGAGCACUUUUGAAGGUCAGCACGACGCACGAGGGGGUGGUAUCACGUGACCAAAUAAUCCACAAUAACUGCAUUACCAAAUUGUUCCACGGCUAACUAAAAAAAACAUUUGUUUUUGCUGCUCGCACAGAGGAAAAAGUGUGGGAUUGGAAGAAGGCCAAUCAGCAAAUACAUUUAAUUUAUUCUUGCCUCUCAGCAGAAAAAAAACAACAACCGAUAUUUCAUUGUAUAUUUCUGUGGAAACUACAUGUAAAGAUACCCCAAUUAGCCUUACAAGCUGUUAGGGCAAGUGCUUUUGGCAACAUACGUGAGGUUUAUUGCCUUUGGUCCCCCCCUCCCUCCCAGUAGUUAUGUUGAACCACGCCAGACCAAGUAGAACACAGUGCUUGUUUUAUGCCGAGUCAUUUAACAGGAGACCCAGAGCAGAUGCAGGUAGUAAUUGCAAGUAAAAAUAACACUAGAAAAAAAAUCAACGAGGGUAUCCAGAAAAGUUAUGCAACAUACUAAACACUGUACGCUAUUAUCUUGCAUUAACGAGCUACAGUGAGACACCAACACCGCAGUGAUUUGAUCAAAGGUCACAAUUAUUUUGCAAUUCCCCUCGAGUAUAAAUUCAUUUUGGUAAAAUGUUUACCUUCUCAUUGCUAUUGUUUUUCCUUUGCAAAGCUGUGUUCACUCCAUUCAUAUAAAUGUAACAUUGCCAAAAAGUUGGUGCGCACACAUUCAGAAAUAGCAAAUAAUUUAUUAUAAUAUGCAAGAUUUAAUACUUGUAUUUUGAGGAACUAAGUGCAUUGUUUCGUACCCACAAUGUAAAGUUACCACAAACUAAUUUUAUAUUCACAUUAAAACAAUACGAACUUUUAUGCUCGUAAAUUCAUUUCUCAGAACUUUUAAAAUGUGCGUUUUAUUAUUAAACAGAUUGCCCCAUGCGUGAUAUUUUCGUGUGUAUGAUAUCGGUUGCUAAUCCGUGUGUUUGUUUGCCUGGAACAGGUCCCUGCAGGGUGGGCUGGUAGGACAAGUCUCUGCGCUGUCUAUUGCUGAUUUUACACCCAACAGCACGAGAUUUCACUUCGUUAAAGUAUUGAAAGGGGACGGACGGACGGACACAUUAAUCUAUUGCAGGCUGGUACACUCAGUUUACAACUUCGUUCCUACCAGUAUAACUCAGUUUUGACCGCUCCACUCAUUUCAAGAAACGAGCGAUUCGUUAGCUGAUGUUAGGCAUCUCAUAUGAACGAGGUCAAUAUUCAGAGGAGGAAAAUAAAAAAAAAUCCCUCUUGCCUUCAUAAUUCAGUGUAUACAAAAAAAUCACUGAAUCGGCUUGUCGGUCUUGCACUGCUUAUCUUACGUACACUAUAAAAAUAACCAGGAGCGUGAUGUGAACCCUGGCUAAACAAAACAAAUCACGGCAAACAGACGCGGCACCGGCAAACUGUUGAAUCUCUACGGGGCUCCAUCACGAAGCUGCCGUACACUAAGCGAGAUGGCGACGUGUCUGGUGGUCAGCCGACGCGACGGAGGCUUGGUGGCGAUGGAGCGUCUCUCGUUUGGCGAGCCGAGCCUGCUGCUGGUCGUGCGACACGUCUCCCCAUGCACGCCGGCGACUCGCGCGCUCGUCCGGCUCGCGGUGUUCCAGCCAGGGGCCAUGAACGGAAGCUGUUAAUGAUGAGUUUGCGAGACGGGAGCUCCAGAAGGAGUGGCGGAGGUUCAAGUGUUAAAUUGUGCAGGACAUCGUCAUCGCUCUUGGUAUUCGCCCUGGCCAUGGCAAGUGGAGCCAGGCUUGGCCACGACCCGGUGCAGCUAGCGAGCCACCCGAAGGCACACAGUGGCAACCUCCCAGCGAUUUGAGGCAGGGAGUAAAAAAAACGCAAAAGCUUUCACCUCGCCAUAAUCUAUAACCUCCAUGGCCUCUUGUUCCCUCGCCUCAUGCUGUCUCCCCCCCACCACUGCACCCAGUUACCGCACAACCCUAACCGGAAACUGACCUGCUGAUGACGAAGGUGACAGGGAAAUGACACGACUUAUUUUUGCACGUCAUUUGCUGACUGGGUAAGGAGUCCCUGGAGUCUGAUGGCACAAUGUAACUUGAGAGGCACCAUGGUGACAUGUUAACUUCCUCGCCUGGUAUGCAGGAGGUCGUGGGAUCGAUACCAGUCAUUAUGCCUGUAUAUAUUGAGUUUGCAUGCCUCUCUCCCCAUGGUCGUGUGGAUUUUUCUCCGGGUCCUUCGGGUUUUCCCUCCAAAUUUAGAA